CUGCUCAACGAUGAUGAACUCAUCUCCCACAUCCUCUCCAGGAUGGAUCUUGACUAUCAGCCGCUGAUCUCCGCCCUGGACGUCCGCACCGAGCCACUCUCCAUCGACCACCUGUUUGCCCUUAUGUCCAACUUUGAUC
rfam:Triticum urartu cultivar G1812 contig590141, whole genome shotgun sequence.